AGGGAAAAGGUACGAAUGCUCUGGACUUAGAGUCUUCUGUCACUCAUUCAUAUAUGCAUCGUGUUAUAUGGAACUAAGAAUGUCCAGAGAAGUUUUCCAGAAUAAUACAGGAACACCACAGGACAGCAGGUGAGAGGCAUUCAGCAGGAACGGAGCUGCUCUUAUUUUUAGAACUAUAUGGAACAAUAUAGAUAGAUGGGCAACUACGAGUGUGGGAAACUUAAUUCCGCAGGGGAGAAUCCUUUGACAAAAGGGAUAUGGAAGCUUGAGUUGUGUAAUGAAAAUAAAUAGGAUAUAAAUGAUCUAAGACUCCUUAUGAACCUAACUUCCAGAAAGGGACAAUCUGAAAGUAUAUUUCUAGCAUGCUGCCACAACAGAACUUGGAAGAGGUUAGAUGUAAACAAAAGUAAAGUGGAAAUCACUGGCACAGAUCUAAAAUCCAGUCUUAUUAGGACUCUCUUCUGAGGUUCUACCACCAGCAACUUAGAGCAUUCACCAGUUUUCUCACAAAGGGGGCAAAGACUCCAUCGAUUUUGAAGCGAGAUCAGCAUGCAGAUAAGAUUUUUAGAUCAUAUUGAAAAAUGAAAAAUUGGACUCCUCAUCACUCUUUCCCAAGAGAGGAAAGCUGCAGUCAGCAGAGCCAAGGAAAGAAAGCACCAGUGAAAAAAAUACAGAAACCCAGGGAACAGCAGCAUUAUCUUUGUAGACUUUGUGCACCCAAGAUCAAAACAGUUGGCCAAUUUCAUCAGCUCCUUUAAAC